rnacentral:rRNA from 1 species
AGCUCCAAUAGCGUAUAUUUAAGUUGUUGCAGUUAAAAAGCUCGUAGUUGGAUUUCGGAUUAGUGCGACCGGUCUGCCGUUUCGGUGUGUACUGGUUGCGUUAGUCUUGCUGUCGGGGACGCGCUCCUGGCCUUAACUGGCUGGGACGUGGAGUCGGCGAAGUUACUUUGAAAAAAUUAGAGUGUUCAAAGCAGGCCUACGCUCUGAAUACAUUAGCAUGGAAUAACGCGAUAGGACUCUGGUCUUAUUGUGUUGGUCUUCGAGACCGGAGUAAUGAUUAAGAGGGACAGUUGGGGGCAUUCGUAUUUCAUUGUCAGAGGUGAAAUUCUUGGAUUUAUGAAAGACGAACUUCUGCGAAAGCAUUUGCCAAGGAUGUUUUCAUUA